CAAUGACUCAUUAAUUGCCUGUAACACCCAGUGCUCAUCACGUCACAUGCCCCCUGUCAUGCCCAUCAUCCA